GAGAAAGUACAUCAUUACUUCCCCAAAAUGAAGGCCUCCCUCUUUAUCUGUUUCCUCUUGUCCUCUGUUUUGGUCCUUCCCUUCGCUUUUUCAGCUCGAGAACUUCAUAUUGUGGAACAUAUUGGUGCUCGCAAUACCUUUCCUGUGAAUCCUAGCGCUGGUAAGACACAUCACACAUCAUGCUACAGGGAACGUAAAUAUUAUGUAUGCAAUGUGCCCACACCACCAAGUAGAGGAACACUAGCUGCUCCAGCGGGAUGUAGAACUUGCCCGACUCCGAUUUAUGUACCAAGGAACUCUCCAUGUCCUUGCACUAUUAAGUAGUCGGUGAAAUGGAUUAUAAAAUGUGAUUUGUUUUAGUUACUUCACUGUAAAACGAUGUAGCGUGGUUUGUUCUAUGUUUUACUCCAUGCGAGUUCUUCACUUCUAUAUAUAGAGGGUCGGAGCAGGGAUUUUAGCUCAAGGGGACCACUAUGCUUUAGCCUAAGAUUUGUUUUUAUGUUAAGCCUUAAUCAUUUGCUUUUGUAAUUUUAAUAUCUGUGAUACAACAAAAAGUUAUUCUAUUAAAUUUUGCGUUAAAUUUAA